rnacentral:rRNA from 1 species
GAUGAACGCUGGCGGCGUGCCUAAUACAUGCCAGUCGAGCGAACAGACGAGGAGCUUGCUCCUCUGACGUUAGCGGCGGACGGGUGAGUAACACGUGGAUAACCUACCUAUAAGACUGGGAUAACUUCGGGAAACCGGAGCUAAUACCGGAUAAUAUAUUGAACCGCAUGGUUCAAUAGUGAAAGACGGUUUUGCUGUCACUUAUAGAUGGAUCCGCGCCGCAUUAGCUAGUUGGUAAGGUAACGGCUUACCAAGGCGACGAUGCGUAGCCGACCUGAGAGGGUGAUCGGCCACACUGGAACUGAGACACGGUCCAGACUCCUACGGGAGGCAGCAGUAGGGAAUCUUCCGCAAUGGGCGAAAGCCUGACGGAGCAACGCCGCGUGAGUGAUGAAGGUCUUCGGAUCGUAAAACUCUGUUAUUAGGGAAGAACAAAUGUGUAAGUAACUAUGCACGUCUUGACGGUACCUAAUCAGAAAGCCACUGCUAACUACGUG